UUAGUUUUUGGCAUUUUUCGAGAUGUACAUACACUACAUUUUCUACACCACUUCUUCACUGCAUCACGCACACCUAAAAGAAAAAAUUCUGUCUUAUUCUUUUCAAGGUUUUCUUAACACCUAGAUGUGAACUGGUCAGAGAGUCAUGAGAUUCCGACAAUAUAAACUUGGUCACCCAAAGCACCCCUUAUUUCUACAAUGAAAUAAUCGAUAUGAAUAAUCAGCCUAAGGUCAACCAUCGCGGUCAAGUUGUGACUACUAUAUUAAUCACCACUUGGGUUAUUUGGUAUAAAGUUAUUUAUUAUGAAGAAAAAUCUGUUCUGCAGCCUGGAUUGAUAAAGAUACAUGAUUACAGUUGAACUUGCCUUACCAGCAACCUGUAUCAAGAAGUCACUUGACUUAAGGAGCCAGUCAGCUUACUUUCUAAGUUGACUUUCUGUUCAAAUAUCAAUUAAGCAGCCACCUGUGUUAAGCAGCCAGAUUGUGUUGUACCCUUUGUUGACUGCUUAAAUACAGGUUUCACUGUGUACUAUUAUCAUAUUUCAAGUGUGCAGCAUUCCCGAUUGUUCCACUCCAGUGUACCAUGCAGAGAAAUUUGCCAGAUAUAUAGAGAAUAAUAGGUUAGUGCCAUAGAUGAGAAAGUUUAUCUGGCGAGGUGGAGGAAGUUAUUGGGUGAGCUGAUAAGUGUGCAACAACCGUUCUAAUGACGUCAUAUUCAUAAUGACGUCACUUAUAUAAUGACGUAAUCAACGACAAAAUCGCAAUAACUUCUUCGUUUUAGAGUAAAAACUCAUUAUUUGACCACUCAUUUUCUUAGUUUGGACAUUUCUACCAUAAUGGUAAUGGUUUCAAUGCAAAAUUUCUUAUAACAACAUCAAUCAUAAGGUCACAUGAUCAUCUGACCGUAUAUCACUGGUCAUGUGUCAACUGACGGUAUAUCAAGAAAGAUAUACGGCACCCUGAUAUCGGGUCGAAAAUACUGCAAGUGACAGAAUAAAUGUUGCCUCUGUCCUGUCUGUGUCUUCAGUAAAACACCAACACCAUUUUCUCCGCUGGUAUCCCAGGCACCAAAGGGUAUUUGGGCCCAACACCAAAUAGAUGUUCUAGCUUGGCACCAUCAGGGUAUUUGGGCCCAACACCAAAUAAAUGUUCCAGCCUGACACCCAUCAGGAUAUUUGGGUCCAACACGAAAUAGCUAUUCCAGCCCAAUUCCUGGAUAUUCCAGCUAAACACCCGGUUCAACAGCAAUACCAUCUUGAAGCCCAGCACCUACAGUGUGGGAAGCCCAUUGUUGGACCCAAAAUUGAAGUCAUGUCUGCAAACAUUGGUAAGCAAAGAAGGAAAUCAAGAUCUGUAUAUUUUGCAAUAAACAACAGUUGACACGCUGACCG